rnacentral:rRNA from 1 species
UACGUAGGGGGGCAAGCGUUUGUCCGGAAUUAUUGGGCGUAAAGAGCGCGUAGGCGGCCCGGUAAGUCCGCUGUGAAAGUCCAGGGCUCAACCCUGGAAUGCCGGUGGAUACUGUCGGGCUCGAGUCCGGAAGAGGCGAGUGGAAUUCCUGGUGUAGCGGUGAAAUGCGCAGAUAUCAGGAGGAACACCGAUGGCGAAGGCAGCUCGCUGGGACGGUACUGACGCUGAGACGCGAAAGCGUGGGGAGCAAACAGG